AUUGAACGCUGGCGGCAUGCCUUACACAUGCAAGUCGAACGGCAGCGCGGGAGCAAUCCUGGCGGCGAGUGGCGAACGGGCGAGUAGUGCAUCGGAACGUGCCCAGUUGUGGGGGAUAGCCCGGCGAAAGCCGGAUUAAUACCGCAUGAGACCUGAGGGUGAACGCGGGGGAGCGAAAGACCUCGCGCGUGUGUAGCGGCCGAUGUCAGAUUAGGUAGUUGGUGGGGUAAGGGCCUACCAAGCCUGCGAUCUGUAGCUGGUCUGAGAGGACGACCAGCCACACUGGGACUGAGACACGGCCCAGACUCCUACGGGAGGCAGCAGUGGGGAAUUUUGGACAAUGGGCGCAAGCCUGAUCCAGCCAUGCCGCGUGCGGGAAGAAGGCCUUCGGGUUGUAAACCGCUUUUGUCGGGGAAGAAACGGCCUGGGCUAAUACCUUGGGCUAAUGACGGUACCCGAAGAAUAAGCACCGGCUAACUACGUGCCAGCCGCCGCGGUAA
rnacentral:rRNA from 1 species